rnacentral:lncRNA from 1 species
GGACACCCAAUGGGGUGUCCCUUCCAUGUCCCUUGGGUGUCUCUUCCAUGUCCCUUGGGUGUCUCUUCCAUGUCCCUUUGGUGUCUCUUCCCUGUCUUUUGGGUGUCCUUUGGGUGUCCCUUGAGUGCCGGAGACCGAAUUUACCAAAACCUUCAUUGACAGCUGCACCUGGCUAAUUAUUAACCACCAAGCGUCCCCUUGGUGGCAGAAUGCUCAGUCAGGAUGCAGUGGAGGGUCGAGCACAUGAUACGG